UACGAGGGGGGGCGAGCGUUGUUCGGAAUUAUUGGGCGUAAAGGGUGCGUAGGCGGUUUGGUAAGUCUUGUGUGAAAUCUACAGGCUCAACUUGUAGUCUGCACGAGAAACUGCCGGGCUUGAGUAUGGGAGAGGUGAGUGGAAUUCCUGGUGUAGCGGUGAAAUGCGUAGAUAUCAGGAGGAACACCGGUGGCGAAGGCGGGUCUCUGGGCCGAUACUGACGCUGAGGAGCGAAAGCGUGGGGAGCGAACAGG
rnacentral:rRNA from 1 species